rnacentral:lncRNA from 1 species
GUGGAUGUGAGGCCGUUCAGGGCAAGAGUAGGAGCAGUGAGUCCAAUUUUGUUUAAAAAUGGUGAAGGAUGUGGGGCCUGCUAUAAAGUUAAGUGUUUGGACCGUUCCGUUUGUUCAAGAAGAGCUGCGACGGUGAUUAUUACAGAUGAAUGUCCCGGUGGGUACUGCUCCGGCGGCAGAGUUCACUUUGACCUUAGUGGCGCCGCCUUUGGUCACAUGGCUGUUUCUGGUUACGGCGGUAGCCUCCGUGACCGUGGUGUUAUCUCCGUCAUUUACCGCCGGUAAGGAACUUUUGUCAUUUUUUAUUCUUGAUAACGGUCUUGUUUUUUUAUCUUUCCCUAUUUUGUCAAUUAGUGUUUAGUGGGUUGUUAAUUUAAUUUACUAUUUGCCCGUUUGGAUUGACUUAGAAAAAAGUGGCUUUUAAGUUAAGUGCUUAAAAGCACUUUAUAAGUGCUUAAAAUUACUUUAUAAAUGCUGGAAUUUGUUUUAUAAAUAAGCAGUUACGUAUUUGGAUAAAAGUGUUGAAACUUAAAACAAGCUGAUGAAGUGUUUGGUAAACAAGUACUGGUAAGCACUUUUUCUCGUUAAAAUGACUGAAAUAUCCUUAAAAUUGUUAACAUUAUAAAGAAGAAGAUGACCAUAAUAUUAUUUUUUUCGUUCAUAGCUUCAAAUUCAGGGGUACCACAUAAAUUCAUUGAAUGGUUUGAUUUUAGAAUAUAGUUACACCAAUUAAAAAAAAAAAGGAAGGAUUCAACUACCAAAGAAAUUAAAUGUUAUGGACCAAAAAAAGAAGCCAAAAGAAUAAUAUUUACAAAAUAUUGGAAUGUAUCAAACAUUAUUUAAAAAACUAUUAUUUGCUUCACGUUACGAACUUCAAGAAAUUGACAAAUAUUGAAGAAUGGAAAAAAAAAUAGUAUGUUGUAGGGUUUUUAUUUAGGGAUAAUUUCGGAAUCAAGAAAAAUUAGAAGGGAUAAGAAUGUAAUAUCCUUGGUCAAAGCAAUAUGGCUUUUAAGCCAAUUUAGAAAAAGUUAGGUUUUCCAACUUAUUUAUUUUAACUUUUUUUUAAAGUAAAUUUUAAAUUUUUUUAAGCUCAUUUUUUGGUUGUCAAACACUUAAACACGUUAGAAGCUGCUUAAAAGCCCAUCCAAAAGUGCUCUGUAUGUCAUAAAGUUUUUGAGUAGUACUAUUUUUGUUGACAAUGACACCCCUGAGUUAAGUGACUGUGUUGGGGUUAUUUCUGUAUCUUUUUUGGUCAUUUUUUAUUUGCUGAUGAUAUAUUUUAGUAUUGAUUAAAUGCUGCUUAGUUAUUAGCGCACAUUCACACACGAAAAAGUUAAUUAUAUUCUGUUUCCUUGUGUGUAGUUUCUGUAUGUUUUAUAUCCUUUUUGGUCAAAAACUUCACUGCUACUUCCUUGGUUUGCAUGAAUUGGAGUCUGACUGAUGACCACUUUCCCUCUGACCAUAUUUAUUUCACCAUUUUUGUGGUUACCUUUCAAGAUAUUUUUAUUACUCCUAUUAUCUUCUCUUUGGAUGACUAAUAUUAUUCUCUUUUCCUCAUAGUAAUUUAUUAAGUAGUAGCUUUUUUACACUUUAAUAGAUGAUGGGCACUAAUAUUAUUGAAUUUGUGGGUGUAGAACUCCAUGUAAGUACCCUGGAAAGAACAUAGCCUUCCAUGUAAAUGAAGGCUCAACACCUUACUGGCUUUCUCUUCUUGUGGAAUUUGAGGAUGGAGAUGGUGAUGUUGGAUCCAUGCAUAUUAGAGAGGUACAUAUCUUAUGUCUCCGCUUUUAUUUAUAUACACUCAUAAGCGAAACCAAAAUUUAAAAUUUAUGAGUUCAAAUUCAAAAUUGCACCACUUCACAUUUAAUUUACUGGGUUCAGAAUAUAUUUUUUGCACUUAGUCGGAUUAUUAAUACAUAUACAGGGUCCAAGGCAAAACUAUUGGUUCAAAUGAAUCGUAGCUUCUUCCUUGGCUCCGCACAAUAUACACUUAUAAUGUAAAAAGUAUUUACACUACAAAAUAACAACUUGUGUAUAGCUUAAGCUCUUUAUUUAAUUGGUCAAACUGAAGAUUGAAAGCUUCCUAGUCAAAAGAAGUUUUCGAGUACUAUUAUAAAGGAUGAGGGAACAUGUUAUGGUCUGCAGUUUCACAGUUAUCAAAAAGGACCUCUGAGGUUUUUUAGCCUCUGCUUUAGAAGACUCUUUACAUUUUACAAGAAAUCUAAAAAUAUACCUAUUAGACAAAUCCGAACAUUUAGGUGCUUAGAGAGAACUUUAAGAAUCACGUGAUGCCAGACAAAGCAAAAUCUUUGUUUGACAUUAUGAAAGAUUCAUUUGGCGUACAUUUGAUACUCUCUCUGCCACAAUCUCACCAUUGCUUUACCAUGAAUAUAGAUAGUAUAUCUUCUUUUUGGGUAUGAAUAUGAAAAGUUCCUCUCCAUCUUGACUUGGUUGUCCAAAGUAUUAUGCACUUCAAUCACUUUCCACAUGCUUUUCUUUUUAUCACUGUUUUACAACAGUGCAGAAGUGUUAAAUACAUACAAAAGUUACCUCCUCUUUUCAACAACAAUAACAAACUCUGUAAUCCAAUAAGUGGGAUUUGGAGAGGGUAAUCUGUACACAGACCUUACUCCUACUUUGUGAAGGUAAAGAGGUUAUUUCCGAUAGACCUCGACCCUCUUUUUAACCAAAUACAAUUAAAAAUGUCUUCUUCCCUCAUUGGUUUAUGAAGGGUAGAUUCUUUUUCCUUUAUCAGACAGACAAGAAUUUUGGAUUUUUUUUUGAAAAGACUCUAAAAUUUGCUAAUUUUUCAGGCGAAGUCGAAUGUAUGGUUAGAGAUGACACAUAUAUGGGGAGCAAAUUGGUGCAUAAUUGGAGGACCAUUGCAAGGACCUUUUUCAGUGAAGUUAACAACACUCUCAACUGGCAAAGCCCUCUCAGCAAGAGAUGUUAUUCCAG